UUUAAUUUAUACAGUAACAUCAACAUGGCAAAGACAAACAACUUGGAAAGAUUUUAGAACUCUGAUCAGUGCAGUGACCAACAGAGAUGAUGGACCUAGGGAGCAGAGUAAGACCUACAGUGUUGGAUGUCGCCAACAUGGGAAUUUGUUUUGCUUGACUAUGCUUAUUUGGAGGAUUGUGUUUUUCUCUCCUUGUUGAGAGGAGUUUCGAAACAAAAUAACAACCACCAGCAUUUAUUAAGGGCUUCCUAUGUGCCAGGCACUGUGCUAAGUUCUAGAGAUAUAAAGGAAGAGCAAGUACAAGAUGAGGAAGGUGUGGCUUCCUUUUGUUUUGUUUUUAUAGAAGGAAGGCUUUAAAUAUCAGUCAACAGUAUGGUAUGAUAGUCAGAAAAACUAGCAUAAUCUUACAUAACAUUAACAAGACUGUAUUCAAGACUAGGGAGGUAAGAGUCCUAGCUGCUGCUCUUUUCAAAUCAAAUAAAACUAUAGAUGUAGAGCUAAAAGACUUUCGAGGCCGUCUAACUCCUGCCUUUUUACAGAUGAGGAGGGAAACAGGCUUAGAGAGGGGACAUGCCCCAAGGUUGCAUGGCAAGUGAAAGAGAUGGAAUUUGAGACCUAUUCUCCUAAUUCCCAUCUGUAGCCAGUACCACCAAACCCAUGUUGCUUCUCUAGAGCAAUAUGUUCAGUUGGGGGUGGGGGGGGCAGUCACAUUUCAGAAAGGACAUUGAUUAGCCUGAGUGUGAACAGCAUGGUGUGGGGAGGCUUAAAGCCCUGCUUUUGUUUUCAGGUGAAUCCAAAGCAGCAUAGGGAGAGUUCAUUUGGGGUUAUUUUUGUACACAGAAUGAAUGAAUUUUAAAAUAUACCACCCUAUUAAAUGAAAUUAAAUGGAUUUAUGUUAUUCGCAGCAGAGCUGACAAGAGAAACACCAUCUCUUUCUCUUCUCAUUUGGUGGUUAAUCAUGGAACUGGAACAAGGGUAAUUUUGCCUUGGAGGAGGCGGGGGAGGUUGUGCAGGGUGGGUCACUCCACAAAACAUUGUUCCUGUCUGCAUUGAUGAAGUGCUGACACGAAAGAGCAUACACUUGGGGAUGAGGACUGGGGGUGUUCCUUCAGGGCUUGGACACAAAACUGCCAGGAGUGGGGGGCUCUCUUCGUUUUAAUCUCUUCGACCUUCCCCCCUCCAGGCACACAUGCACAUGGUAAGGAAGAUUCAAGCCUCUGUCUUUAAUAAGCUCAGAAGACAGUAAAUCUUUGUAAUGAGAAAACUGCAUCUGCUAGACAUGACACACUGUAUGUGGUCUGAUAAAUUACACGUGAAAUUAUCUUUUUGGUGUUCUUCAAGAUAAAUUUGUCAUGCCCAAUUUCCAUGGUUAAUUCAAUUCAACUAGCCUUUAUUAAGCAUACCACCAUUUGCUGGGCCUCAGUUUCCUGAUCUAUAAAAUGAGGGAGUUGAGCUACACUGCCCUUAAGGACCUUUCCGACUUGAAAUCUGUGAACCCAGUUAAUCUUCCAGACUUUAAAUAUAUAUAUAUUUAUAGUUAUAUAUAAUAAAUGUAUAAUCUGUUCCUCCAACUGCCCCCUCCCUCUUGAACAAAAAAAAAAAAGCCUAUUAUCAUAAGCAUGCAGAGUCCAGCAAAACAGAUACCCUUCUCUGGGAGACUGGAAGUGGAAGUUUUUCUCUGCAUUUUAAGACUACUACCUCUCUGGCAGGAGGUAAGUGAUGUGUUUCAUCUUCAGUCCUCUGAACUAACAGUUAAUCAUGGCAUUGAUAAGAGUUCUCAAAGUCUUUCCAGGUUGUUCUCUACAGUGUUGCCUUUGUUGUACUGGUUCUGCUCACUUCACUCUUUAUCAGUUCAUAGAGUUCGGUCCAGUUUCCUUUAAAACUAUCCAUUUUGUCAUAUCUGGUAUGGUAGUAUUCCAUCACAUAAUUUUUUCAGCCAUUCCCCGAUUGAUGGGCACUGCCUCAAUUUCUGGUUCUUUGUCACCCCAAAAGGAGCUGCUAUAAAUAUUUUGGUACAUAAGGGUCCUUUUCUUCAAUCUCUGGAGUAUAGGCCUAGUAGUGGUUUACUUGGGUCAAAGGGUAGGCAUAGUUUAGGGAUAUUUUAGGCAUGGUUCCAAAUUGGUGCCACCGAGGUUCAAGGUUCUUAAUGUAUCUGUGUGUUGCAGACCCUUUGGCAGCAGUCUAAUGAAGUCUAUGGACCCCUUCUCAGAAAAAUGUUUUUAAAUCAUCGAAGGAAAUGGAUAAAUUUCAAUUAGAGGCUAACAAAAAUAAAGGUAUGAUUUUUGUUUUCCUCCUGUCCGAUUUCAUCAAGUCCCUGAAAUAUGUAUAUGAACCCCAGGUUAGGAACUCCUGCUCUAUUCAGGCUGUGUCCUAGGAAUUCCCCAAGAUAAGAUUUCUCUUUUUUGUUUUUGUUUUACCACCCCCAAAAAAUCUGUCUUCAGAGUGGGCCUUGUUUUUGACCUGCUCCAGUUUGGGGCCAAGAUGGAAAGGGAAUUAAAGUUAGAAUUUCCACCUGGGUACAGCCAGGGAAAGAAGAGGCCCACUCCUCAACUUUCCCCAGAGGUAACUGGCCACCUUCCUGAAUAGUACAUCCUUGAAAUGCUGGAUGGGUGCUAUGAGAAAAGGACAAGGCCCCAAAGUGAGGUGCUCUCAGUAGCUCUGGCCAUUGGCAUCAGGAAUAGGAUGUGACAGCUAAGUAAGCUAAUGAAAUCAUGGGCUUCCAAGAGUAAAGAGGAGAUAGUCUUGGACUGACCACAUCUGCAACAUUGACUUUGACCCCAGAUACCACCUCUUGGGAAGUCAGUGAUAAGAUGGAGAAUGUCCAGAGGAAGACAACCAGGGUGGUAAAGGGUCUCAGGUCUGGUUAGUUGAAGGAACAGGUAGAGAGGGGAGUGACUAGCUCUUCAUGUGUCUGAAGGGCACUUCUGUGAAAAAGGGAUUAGGCUUAGCUUUGCCCUACAGGGUAGAAAGGGAGUCUCUAGUAGAAGCUACAAAGAAGCAAAUUUAGGUAAGGCAGACUUCCUAAUCAUCCCCAGCCAUUGGACACUGUCAAGUAGAGGCCAAAUGAUCACUUACUAGGUUCUUUCUCUGGUAUAGGUUGGACAAGAUGGCUGGCCUCCAAACUCUGAAUUUUUGUGGUACUGUGAAUUCCCAGGCCCAGCCCCAAUUUUUUCCCUUCAUUGAGGAGUCUGGCAAGUAGGACAGUCAGAAAGGGCAGUAGGAAGGGAAGCUGAAGAAGGGAUGAAAGUCUGUGGCCUUCCCCUCGCUGAAUAAAGGUCCACCCGUGCUUCACAGAUUCAAGACCCAAAUCCUCUGGACCCAAACCAGUUUGGGUUGUAAUGGAAAAAUCUGCAAAAGGGAGAUCGGGACAGUGGUGUGCCCUUAUGGUGAGGAAAGACCAGCAGAAAGAGAGAGUGACUGAAGAGCUGAGCUGGUCCCUUCCAACAUCCGUUUUUGUCAUCUUUGCCAUUCUGAUGGUGUGGGAGCCAUAGAUCUGAAAGAUAACUUCUUCCUUGGUGCACCAAUUUGAUUAUAUCACCCUCUGUGUCUAUACCAGGGGCAAGGCAAACACAGGAAUAAGAAAAAGGGCCUCUGGGUCCCUCCUCUUGAAAAUCAGUACUCAACCUCAGGCUUGGCCUGGAAUUUGGAGAAAAACCACUUUGGUGCUUUUCGACUUUGCCUCCUUUCUUCCGGCCUGGGAGGAAAAAGGGAGUAGCCUUGUAAAGGUAAACUCCUCCACUUCUACCCUUGAUCCCAUAGCCUCCUAGCUCUGGCUGUCUUUCUCAUUUCCUGCAUGUGUAUCUCUGUGUCUGUCUCCCUAGCUAAAGGCUCCUUCCUUCCCCUGGCCAACAAAGAAGUUCAGGUCUUCCCAAUCCUUAAAAAACCUGCUAUCCUCUCAAGCUAAUGUCCUAUGCCUUUCCUCCCUUUUACUACCUAAUUCUUAGAAAGGGUAGUCUCCAUUCACUGCCUCUACCUCCUCAAUUCAAUUUAAUUCAGCAGUUUAUUUUAAAGCACCAGGAACUAUGCUGGAUGUGGGGAGAUACAAAGACAAAAAUGAAAACAGUCCCUGCCCUCAAGGAGCUUACAUUCUACAUUCUUUGUGAGCAAACUACGUGGAGAUCAGUAAAUGUAAAGUAGAAAUGAAUUGGGAGGAGGGAAGCACUGAACAACUGGGAAGAUAACACUGGCCAGGCACUUGGGCUGGGGAUUACCAAAGGUGAAGGUAAGGAACACAUUCCAGAUAUGGGUGACAACCUGGGCAAAGGCAAGGAAGAAGGAAAGGCCUAUUUGAGGAAUAGCAAACAGUAAGGUUGGUCCAGAACAAUGGAAAACCAGCGCACAUGCUGUUGCUUUUAACUGCCCAGCAGAGGAGUUUGUGUUUUAUCCUCAGGUUACUUACAAGGGGUCAGAAGCCAUCUUUUGAAGCCACUGUUCUGUUGAAACUGCCCUCCCCAAGGUCCACUUUUGAUUGGUAAAUUGCCUGGCAUUUGCUCAGUCUUCAUCCUCUUUACCUUCUCUGUCAUAUUUCUAUUGAGCAGCCUUUCCUCCUGGCCACUCUCGUCUCUUGGCCCUCUUCCUACCAAUAUGACCACUCCUCAGUCUCCUUCAUGGACUCCUUGGCCUCUUCCAGUGGCGCCAGCCCUUACAGACAUGGCCUUAACCCCAGGCUUCUCUUGGAAGUCCUCUACUCUGUAUACGCUCUCCCUUGAAGAUUUCCUCAAACCGAGAGCUCAGUUAUUCACCUUUCUGCAGCUUUUUUCCCAAAUUUACAUAUCGAGCUCUGAUCACUCCCCUGACCUCUAGCUCUGAAUUUCUUGCUCUGCUCUACAUUCCAUUGCAGACUUUAUCUCUUAUCUAUUGAUAUAAUCAUGUGGGAUCUUUUAAAUAUAAUUAAUCGUGCUAAUUAUUUUACUAACUCAUUGCAUUCCUGGAGGAAAUCCAACUUGAUCUUGGUAAAUCAACCUGAAUGUCUCAUAGGCCUCUCAGAGGUAACCUGUCCAAAACUGAGCUCCAUGUUUUACCUUCAUUUACCCUGUCUUCCUCUACACACCAACCUCCAGUCAUCCAAGAUUGAGAACUCAAAAUAAUUUCCCCCCCUUCCUUCUCCUUCACUAUGCUCCUUUGCCCACCCCACUCUACCUCCCCCUUCCCCCCAUACUCAUAAUCAGUUGUCAGAUCCUGCAAUUCUACCUCCACAGCGUGCCUCAGAGCUAUCCCUUGCUUUGUAUCCAUAGGGCCCACCACCCUAGCUUAGACCCUCACCACUGCUGACCUGAACCAUUGGCAAAGCCUCCUAACUGGCCUUCCCACUUCCAGCCUCUCUCCUCCUCUGUUGCGUCUUUCAUGCAGCUAGGAAAAUAAUCCUUACAGUGAAAUUAUCAAGACAAGGCAAGAACUGAUUAGCUGCUCCACUUAUGGUACAGAGAGGGUGCCAGAGUUUGCCAUCACUACUGUAUUAUGCUUCCAUGCCAAGCUUGUGAUUGCUUUUCUGAACUCUCUUGUUCCUCCUCCCCUUUUCCAAGUGGUCUGCAGGCCCCCCACCCUUGUUCAGCCAGACCCUUACAAAUAGCCUAACCAGCCUUCCUAAAGGAGUGGAAGAAAUUUUAAUUGACAUUUUUAAUUUUUACAUCAUUUUACUUUCCACCUAUAUCCCUUCUCCACCUCCUUCUUAAAACAAAUAAUUUUGUUAAAAGAGAAAAGAGGAAGAGAAAAAAAUAAGCAAAACCUCUCAAUACAUCAAAAAAAAAAAUCUGGUAAUAUAUACAGUUUUCUCCAUCCGUCAGAAAAGGAGUGGGAGGUAAUGCAAUCUCAUAGUGUCAUCUCCUUUGAGAAAGCUUUCCUAUCUUAAUUGUUCAUUCUCUCUCCCUUCUCCUCAAAUUGAUGUGAGUAUAUGUAGAUAUUGUGUCUCUUCCCAAAGAUGAAUGUCAUCUUCUUGAGGGUGGGAAGGGUUUCAUUUUGGUACAGUGUUUAAUGGAUGCUUAUUGAUUGGGAUGGGUUGAAGGCGGUUCUACCACUGCAUUGCCCAAAUGGGGUCACAUGGCCUUUGAGCUGCCUGCCACUGGCCUUCAUCUAGAUUCUGGCUGCUCCCUGGCACUUUGCAUGAUGAGAUUGGAAUUUCAGAUGCUGUAAGCAGCAAAAGGAGGAAUCCUCAAGCAGCACCUGGAGAUGGGUAUGGCAUGCAGUGUUGCCAUUCACCAGGGAUACUGGUACUGGAGAAAGAGAAAAUUAGUAGAAAGGUCAGGGAAUCUGAAGUUUAGUACCAGCUGUAACAUAAUGGCUGGGGUGUCUGGGGCAAAAACCCUUCUGUUCUCUGUGUCUGUUUCCUCUUCUGUCUGUCAUAUGAAAAGGGUUGAUCGACAUCUCUGGGGCCCCCAGUCCUCCUUGAUCCUUUAAUCAUGCCCUCAGUGUAUUUGCCUGACUAAAGUAAUUUUCGUUUUUAACUGUUCUUCAGAACAAAAUCCUGCAGUUGUGAAUAACUCAUUUCUGUGUGUGCAUUUACGCUUUCCAUGUGUACAAAACUCUGGCCUGGCACUGAGAAAGCCAGGGCAGGAGGUCUAGUCAACUUCCAUCAGUCAGCUGUGGCCUGAAAAAUGCUAGUCAUUCUGCUCCUCUGUGGUAGCUCUCUUUCUAGGAGAGGACUGGGCUGUCCUGGGAAGAAGGGAGGAUCUUAUCCCUGAGAUACUUCAAGAAAAGCUUCAGUUCAAAUAAAUAAGCUACUAUGUACCAGGCACUAUGUUAAAUGGUGAGGCUACAAAGAAAAACCAAAUAGUCCCUGUCCUUGAUGAGCUUACAUUCUAUUUUUGGUUAUAUUUAAGUUUAGAGGGAUCCUUUUACGUCUCUGCUUUUUAGAGUCUUUAAUAGAAAAGAAUGCUGCAUUCCAUUGGAGACUUUUCUUUAUCUAUUGGUAUGACCCUGUGGUGAGGUUUUUUUUGUUGUUGUUUAUAUGAUUAAUUGUCCUAAUUAUUUUACUAACAGAAACCUCUUUGCAUCCCUAGAGGAAAUCCAACUCACUCAUAGUGAAUCAUGGUCUAUUGCUGUAAUCUUGAGAGGCAGUAUAACAUAUUGAACAAAAUGCUUUCCUUGGAGUCAGAGAGGCCUGGGUUCAUAUCCUGCCUGAUAUAUGCACUAGCCGCGUGACUGAGGAGAUCGCUUAACUUCUCUGAGCCUCAGUUGCCUCAUCUGUAAAACAGGGAUACUAAUUCCAAUAGAACCUGCAUCACGGGGUUGUGAUGUUCAAAUGAACUAAUCUGCUUUGCAAAUGUAAAUGUUAGUUAUUACUGUCAAGAUAAUUAUAAGCUACAGAGAAGGCACUGUGUUGCUAGAGAAAGUUUUCUCACCUGGGAGUUUCCUGUACCAGUAAAACCCCAGCUCUGCUCCCUAUCCCUGUCGCUACGAUUAUAUUUUAAAAUGUUUGCUUCAGUAUUCAUUAGUGAAAUGGGUCUACAGUUUCUCCUUAGAUCAAGCUGAAAUGGGCCUCCCUACAUCUCUAGAGCAGGGGUAGGGAACUUGCAGUGGCCUUCUAGGUCUUUGGGUGUGGC